rnacentral:piRNA from 1 species
AUGGCAGUCACCUGUGCUCCUUAACGUCAUA